rnacentral:rRNA from 1 species
UACGGGGGGGGCAAGCGUUGUUCGGAAUUACUGGGCGUAAAGGGCUCGUAGGCGGCCAACUAAGUCAGACGUGAAAUCCCUCGGCUUAACCGGGGAACUGCGUCUGAUACUGGAUGGCUCGAGAUUGGGAGAGGGAUGCGGAAUUCCAGGUGUAGCGGUGAAAUGCGUAGAUAUCUGGAGGAACACCGGUGGCGAAGGCGGCAUCCUGGACCAACACUGACGCUGAGGAGCGAAAGCCAGGGGAGCAAACAGG